UACGGGGGGAGCAAGCGUUGUUCGGAUUUACUGGGCGUAAAGGGCGCGUAGGCGGUCAGCACAAGUCAGUUGUGAAAUCUCCGGGCUUAACUCGGAAAGGUCAACUGAUACUGUGCGACUAGAGUGCAGAAGGGGCAACUGGAAUUCUCGGUGUAGCGGUGAAAUGCGUAGAUAUCGGGAGGAAUACCGGUGGCGAAAGCGACUCUCUGGACGGCAACUGACGCUGAGGCACGAAAGCGUGGGGAGCAAACAGG
rnacentral:rRNA from 1 species